rnacentral:tRNA from 1 species
GGGCCCGUAGCUCAGCCAGGUAGAGCGCCCGGCUCAUAACCGGGUGGUCCGGGGUCCGAACCCCCGCGGGCCCA